CGUCAAAAGGGGCGGUCUCGCUCGUUUCCCGCGCGAAGUUAGCGUAUUUCCCUCCAAAACCGUAGAUGGCUUUAUUAACCCCUGAUGAAUCGUCACUCGGGUCCCUGCUGCUCUUCUCUGGGGACACGAACACGGUGAACAGUGGCACUUGUCUUCAGCUUCAGGUGGAACAGCUCUGACCUGUAUGGUGAUCAGACCCAGAGAGGAGACACACCUGGUCCAACAAGGUGAUGGACGGUUGAAAGGACGAAUCACCGAGACGAACAAGACGAGACAAACGAUGGAGACGAGCCGCCACAGGAGCCCGAAGGGAAAGUGACGAGAGCAGCCAGGAGCCAAAAGUGUGGGCAGAGGAACAGGCUGCUGAGGACCAGCUGGACGAUGGUUUCCUCAACUGAAUCCUGAUUACCUGUGUGGUUGGUGCUCGGCCCAGGACAGGAAGGCUCUGCAGCGGGUGAUCCAUCCAUCCACAGAGCAGACUUGUCUUCAGCUUCAGGUGGAACAGCUCUGACCUGUAUGGUGAUCAGACCCAGAGAGGAGACACACCUGGUCCAACAAGGUGAUGGACGGUUGAAAGGACGAAUCACCGAGACGAACAAGACGAGACAAACGAUGGAGACGAGCCGCCACAGGAGCCCAAAGGGAAAGUGACGAGAGCAGCCAGGAGCCGAAAGUGGGCAGAGGAACAGGCUGCUGAGGACCAGCUGGACGAUGGUUUCCUGAACUGAAUCCUGAUUACCUGUGUGGUUGGUGCUCGGCCCAGGACAGGAAGGCUCUGCAGCGGGUGAUCCAUCCAUCCACAGAGCAGACUUGUCUUCAGCUUCAGGUGGAACAGCUCUGACCUGUAUGGUGAUCAGACCCAGAGAGGAGACACACCU